rnacentral:lncRNA from 1 species
UCAAGUCCCCUCCACCUCACACCCAGAAACCCAUGACAGCAGAAGACAAAAGCCAGACAAUGAACCAAAAGCUGAAGUUUUUCCAUGAUGUCUACUGAUCCAUGCCACUGAUUAGAAUCACACAGUUUUCUGACUUUCCCUUCUCAAAUAGCUCAGAACUCAAGUCUUGAUUCUGUUGGCUCCUCUGAAGACUUAAAGCGGAAAAAAAGAUUUGCCCUCAACCCUUCCUACAGAAAUUGCUCUGCUCCUGAGGACUUGAU